UAAACACAGUCAAUUUCUUCUUCCGUGAUAGACAUUCCAAUUUAAAUUUUGCAACUGAAUUUAGACACAUCUGAGUUGCAUUCAAUGGUUUAAAAUUAAUUUUUAUCAAAAUCUAUUCUUUGAACGUUAGUAUAAUAGACAGUCCUUUAGUCAUCAUUAUGUACAAUGAAAUCUGUAAUCACUAAUUAGUGGAAGUCUGAAAGAUCUAAUAUGUUUUUACUUGCAUCAAGGAACUUGUUCAUGAGGAUCUUGGAUGCACCCAUCCUAGCAUUGGAUCAAUUUUGGGUUGCAGAGCUGAAAUUUUGCAACUUGAUGUCACAGACAUCAAAAUGGAGUGUUUCCUGACACAAUCCGGUAGCUUGACUUUGGAGUGGACGGUGGUCUGAUGAAAUGAUAGACACACCAUGUGCAUCUUCAAUUGGAGCUACUUUCUUCUAGCAGUAAAAGAUUUCCUAGAACUGUAUCUUUUCGUAGAGAUAAGAGCACAAGCAUUUUAUUUCGGUCCCCGAACGUUAGUGCCCUUGAGCAACGUAGAAAGAAAUCCAAAAGUUAUUAUAGUUUUA